CAAGACAGAUCGAAUCAGAUCCAACAGAUUUAACUUGUGCAAGUUUUUAUGGCAAAGACUAUGUUUCAGCUUAACUCAGUAUCGUACCACAUUUAUCCAUGGAGCUAGAGAAACAUUGAAAAAAGAAAGCACAGAUCAACUGAACUUCCCUCCUAGAAAGAAGACACCUUUAUGCCAAACAGCAAUAAAAGAACAGAGAGAAGAUUGGGACCCAUCACACAGAGAGCAUCUUUUAUGUAUGAGGAAGAUGGGGCUGGAGCUUCCUUUGUCUUCAUUUUCAUUGUAUAGACAGUUGGAUCAAUGAAGUUCUCACUGUCACUGUGUUGCCUUACACAGUACAGAGAAGAAAUAGAAGUCCUACUGGGACACAAUCAGAGAAACAACAAUAAUUUCAUGAGGCAAGCAAUGAACCAGAAUCUCAGAAAAGCUUCAACUGCUGUCCAGAGUUUCUGCUGAUCCUUCCUAAAAUGGAUGCGAGAGCAUGCUGUAGGAGCUGCAGUUCAUGCAACCCAGAGAGGGGACCCAGAGCUCCAUCCUGUACCCCCAGUUGCAGGAAUGUGUUUCAAGGUCUCCUGCUGCUGUGCCUUUGCCCCAAUAACUAAAGGAGGCAGCAGCAUCGCGCUCUGGCUCAACCGCUGGAUGCAAAGUGACAAACGUUCUGCCGGGGUUAGAAUGAGAUUAGCAAAAUCCUACGGAACAAUGAUUCAAAGGUGCUGUAACAAAUCAAUUUCCUGCGUGCAAAAAACACAAUUACUACACCAAUUAUCUGCUCUCACCACAUCCUUCUCUCUGCAGUGAGCCAGGGCUGAGAAACCGCAUCCUUUGGGCUGCAAGCAUAUGGUCCCUCUUCUUAGGUGACGCUGCAAGUGGUAGGAGCCGUAGUUCUCCACCCCCUUGAUCAGUUGUGCCACUAGAGGGCACAGAGAUUGCCAAAAUAAUACAGGGGAAACAAUAGGUCCAUUGGUCUUUGAACCUGUAUUCCAAGUUCUCCAGCUCCACGAGCAACGACACUACCAUUCCAGAGCAAUUCAUAUCUGCCAACACAGAUUAUCACCUCUAGUGUUUCUAAUCUUUUCCACUUCAUCAUCUUUUAGUUAAUUUCUCACAUCUCCCAGUUUUUCCAUUGUGGCACAAACAUAGAACCUCUAUUUAAUGCAAAGGUGGAGGGUAAGGGGGGAUUUUUUUAUUCUUUCCAGGGCCUGAAUAUUUUUCAAAGAGGAGAUUCCAACAUCAAAAAUCAACAUGUUCAGCACAGACAACCCAGUCUACAAUGUUUCUUGUCUCUGGCUCAGAGCCAGAGCCCAACUACACUCCCACUGCACCACAUCUGAGGUGAUGAGCUCCCCCACCUUGCUGAGGUGCAUGUGCUAAGGAUGUCAUUACUAGCAGCCACCUUGAACAUAACAAGGCUAGUCAAAGAGUCCAAGUUGAGUAGCAUCAAUUUCCACCCAGAGUCAGCAGUCUCCAUGUUUUGUUCCCUGGCACUGCUGAGCUGCUAAGGCCCUCAAACAGGCCUUGCACUGACUGGGAAAGAUCCAGCAACACUGAACGGUCUGGACUGCAUGCAAUGCAAGAUGGUGCUCCUUGCUUCCUGCCCAGGAAACAGAUUGCAAUUUGCAUAGUGCUGUACCUGAGCUAAUAAACGAUGAUGAACUCU